AUGCCAGUAAGAACCAUUCUUUGGAACAGUGGCAUCAAAUGACUUGACCUCUGCAUGACAGGACAGUGAUUGGCAUUGGAUGAACUUGUAUAUUUUGCAGUAUCAGAUGUUUUCCUUUGAAAAUCUCCCUUGGAAAUAGUUUUCCCAUUUUCCCUGUGGGCUCCUGUUUGUUUAAUGUCAAUCAUAAAAUUGAUCACAGGCCUAAAUAACCAGAAUAGAACUACACAUCGCAUUCAUGGAAAUUAUUGUAUGACUUGGUCUUUUCAUAUGACUUUAAUUUAGCAGAGAUUUAUGAAAUUAUGUCAUAUGGGCCAUGAGGUAAAUUAAAAUUAAAUGGUCCUUAAGUGACCUCAACUGGGUGGCAAUUAUUUUCAUCAUGAGUCUUAGAGUUUCAAGAGUGAAAAAAAAAACCAUCUGAUUUGCAAAAGCAAAAAUAAAUAUGUAAGAGUGUAGAGAGAUGGCUUAGCGGCUUAGCGCUCUUGCUGCCCUUGCAGAGAUGUCAAGUUUAAGGGUCUUGAUCAGGUUCCUUUUCUCUGCCAGUUAAAGAAUUCAAAGGGAGAAAAAUAAUCGUGAGGGUGAAAGGUGGCGGUAGAGAAAUCUCACAUACACAGACAGGAACAGGCAGAAUCUGCCACUGAAGUCACGGGUUGACUGGUGGUGAGGAGACACACCACCCAGCAGACAGACAGACAGACAAAAAGAUGCUCUGCAGAGCUGAGAGGGACUUGAAAAGCAACAAUCCAGACUCUUCUUAAGGGCUGGGGGCUUUCUCUGCUCUGAAGGGCUUUCUUCCCCUAAUUUAAGGAAGAAAUUGAAGAAAGAUAGGACAGCUCAUUGGCACAACUCUUACGUACUGUGUCCUGAUCCAGCCUUGAACUUGAUGGGCCACUCCAUCUGGAGACCUACUGGUAGGAGAAAAAGCCUAAAGGUCUUUGUCUUAAGACGCCCGGCUUUGUAUCAGGCCAAGAGGGUGCAAAAGAAGCCAGCCAUCUUGAAAGUUCACCACCUUAACUACAUACCCACUACCUCUCUCUGUCUGCCUUUUAGGGAAUCUGUCUGAUUCUUAAGUCUCUCCAGAGGAUCUGAGCUCAGUUCCCAGCACCCACAGGGUAGCUCAAAACCCUGUAACUCCAGUGCCAGGGGAUCUGAUGCCCUCUUCUGGCCUCUACAGGCACACUACCCACCACAUAAAAUAAAAUUAAAUUAAUCU
rnacentral:lncRNA from 1 species